GGAAAGGAGAAAGCAAUCUGUUUGUUUGUUUUUAGCUUGUCUUUAUUUUUCACCAUUCAACUCUAUUUUUAACACCCAAGAGAGACCUCUUACCCAGCAUCUGAUCUUUACAGCGAGAUCUGACACUAGAAGACCUCCAUUAUCUGAACAUUUUGAUUUCAUUCACAGAAAUAACUUUUGGCAGAGAGUAAUGAAGAGAAUGGUCCUCAUUCUGUAUGACCCAGUGCAAUGUGACCCCCUAAGCUGA
rnacentral:lncRNA from 1 species